rnacentral:tRNA from 1 species
AAGGCUUUAGCUUAAUUAAAGUGUCUGUUUUGCAUGCAGAGGAUGCGGGGUAGUGUCUCGUAAGUCUUA